CGGCAAUGCGGCAGGCCUAAACAUGCAAGUCGAGCGGUAGCACAGAGAGCUUGCUCUCGGGUGACGAGCGGCGGACGGGUGAGUAAUGUCUGGGAAACUGCCUGAUGGAGGGGGAUAACUACUGGAAACGGUAGCUAAUACCGCAUAAUGUCGCAAGACCAAAGUGGGGGACCUUCGGGCCUCAUGCCAUCAGAUGUGCCCAGAUGGGAUUAGCUAGUAGGUGGGGUAACGGCUCACCUAGGCGACGAUCCCUAGCUGGUCUGAGAGGAUGACCAGCCACACUGGAACUGAGACACGGUCCAGACUCCUACGGGAGGCAGCAGUGGGGAAUAUUGCACAAUGGGCGCAAGCCUGAUGCAGCCAUGCCGCGUGUGUGAAGAAGGCCUUCGGGUUGUAAAGCACUUUCAGCGGGGAGGAAGGCGAUAAGGUUAAUAACCUUGUCGAUUGACGUUACCCGCAGAAGAAGCACCGGCUAACUCCGUGCCAGCAGCCGCGGUAAUACGGAGGGUGCAAGCGUUAAUCGGAAUUACUGGGCGUAAAGCGCACGCAGGCGGUCUGUCAAGUCGGAUGUGAAAUCCCCGGGCUCAACCUGGGAACUGCAUUCGAAACUGGCAGGCUAGAGUCUUGUAGAGGGGGGUAGAAUUCCAGGUGUAGCGGUGAAAUGCGUAGAGAUCUGGAGGAAUACCGGUGGCGAAGGCGGCCCCCUGGACAAAGACUGACGCUCAGGUGCGAAAGCGUGGGGAGCAAACAGGAUUAGAUACCCUGGUAGUCCACGCCGUAAACGAUGUCGAUUUGGAGGUUGUGCCCUUGAGGCGUGGCUUCCGGAGCUAACGCGUUAAAUCGACCGCCUGGGGAGUACGGCCGCAAGGUUAAAACUCAAAUGAAUUGACGGGGGCCCGCACAAGCGGUGGAGCAUGUGGUUUAAUUCGAUGCAACGCGAAGAACCUUACCUGGUCUUGACAUCCACAGAACUUUCCAGAGAUGGAUUGGUGCCUUCGGGAACUGUGAGACAGGUGCUGCAUGGCUGUCGUCAGCUCGUGUUGUGAAAUGUUGGGUUAAGUCCCGCAACGAGCGCAACCCUUAUCCUUUGUUGCCAGCGGUUCGGCCGGGAACUCAAAGGAGACUGCCAGUGAUAAACUGGAGGAAGGUGGGGAUGACGUCAAGUCAUCAUGGCCCUUACGACCAGGGCUACACACGUGCUACAAUGGCAUAUACAAAGAGAAGCGACCUCGCGAGAGCAAGCGGACCUCAUAAAGUAUGUCGUAGUCCGGAUUGGAGUCUGCAACUCGACUCCAUGAAGUCGGAAUCGCUAGUAAUCGUAGAUCAGAAUGCUACGGUGAAUACGUUCCCGGGCCUUGUACACACCGCCCGUCACACCAUGGGAGUGGGUUGCAAAAGAAGUAGGUAGCUUAACCUUCGGGAGGGCGCUUACCACUUUGUGAUUCAUGACUGGGGUGAAGUCGUAACAAAGAGCCAUGGCCC
rnacentral:rRNA from 1 species